CCCCGGCAAGAUGCAAUGUAAUUGCCAAUAGUUGCAAAGUGAUAUUUCCUGGACAGACUUCUGUAUUUCCUAAGUCUCCCUUAGCACACAUUUACAGCCUCACUCAAAGAUGGUUAUUCCUGGUCAUGGGUGGCCCCACCACAGAAGGCGGUUGCCAUAUCAAAGGACAGUUCAGUGAAGAGCUGGCAUGCAAAAAUCCGGAAGACUGUCUCCUUCUGUGUUCUUCUACUGGCCCUGAACCUGGGGACUCCGUCUACCCUUCUCUCUGGAAGCUGAGACAAAGGAUCUCCGCAGCUCAUGGAUUGCUCGCUUCAUGCACGACACAAAUCAGAUCUAAGCACUCCGUCCACCCUCAGGUCUUUCUUCGGCCGUCACACACUGUGGCUCCUCCCUUCUGCCAAAGCCAGGUGGAAGGAAGGCGAAGCUGGUACCAGGUGUCACAGUGACAUUCAGCACUGAAUAGAAGAUACACUCGCUUUUGAAAUUUCAACAAAACAAAACGAUCCUCUCUUAUUUUUCAGCCUUUUUGCUCCGUGCCCAAUUGAACGCAAGUUGAUCUGGAUUGGCCUUCUUAGUUUGCCUUUCACUGCCACGUUUCAGAUUAAGGUUGGAUGUAUGAGCACGGGACAAAAAGAAGGAGAACACCAUUGCCUGAGGCGUUUACUUCAAGAUGGUUAACUGGGCAAGUUCCAUUCUUCACUAAAGGCGGAAGGCGUUUUAUCUCAUCCCUCCCUAUUUCUGGGCUGCUCGGAUCCUUGCACUGGCCUGGCACCGGCCGUGGCUUCCCCUGGACGCUGGAGGUGGGUGACCAAGGUGCAGAGCCUGAGGAAUGAGGCUGUGGAGGGGGCUCCAAGUUCGGGAGAGAAAAGCCAUGCCUGGAAACUGCAGUUGAGAGCACCAUUUCUGUAUUUCUGGCUUCACCCUCUUGCACAUUCUUCAGCGUGCAAAGGGGAGCAUUGUUUAUCCACACACAUAUUGGACUCUUGUUCCUCUUAUCUGGUCUUCGUAACUGUCUGCUCGAUUUUCAUUUCUCUUCCCCGUGGUUUGAUUAAUUGCUUCUCUCUUGACCCUGAAGCCAUGGGCUUGUUCAUGCCAAAACGCUGACCCCCACAGCGAUGUGCCUGGCGGAUGAAUAGAUCUGCCACACGGUCCUCCUUGUCUUGGUUAGCGACAGAUCAUCAGAGGGACUGUUGGCUCUGUGCUGUGGUGGGAACAAAAGACGUCUCUGUUGCUCAGUUGUUGUCUAGCUCGGUCAAGGAAGCAGUUUCUUUGGUGUAGGCAAGGUGAAGUUUUAUUGAAAGAAGUAUCCAAGAUUACAAUAUUGUCAAUUAAAUAGUCAUUUGAUUACU